rnacentral:rRNA from 1 species
UAUGUUUAACGGCCGCGGUAUUUUAACCGUGCGAAGGUAGCGCAAUCACUUGUCUUUUAAAUGAAGACCUGUAUGAAUGGCAUAACGAGGGCUUAACUGUCUCCUUUUCUAAGUCAAUGAAAUUGAUCUUUCCGUGCAGAAGCGGGAAUAACACCAUAAGACGAGAAGACCCUAUGGAGCUUUAGACAAAAGGUAGAUUACACUAAAUAACCUAAAUAAAAGGCUAAAAUAAAAGAAUACUAUCACCAUGUCUUCGGUUGGGGCGACCGCGGGGCACAUAAAACCCCCACGUGGACCAGGAGAACUUUUACCCUCACCUCCCAAAACUAAGAGCCCCCGCUCUAGUAAACAGAAUUUCUGACCAAAAAUGAUCCGGCAACGCCGAUCAACGGACCAAGUUACCCUAGGGAUAACAGCGCAAUCCCCUUUUAGAGUUCAUAUCGACAAGGGGGUUUACGACCUCGAUGUUGGAUCAGGACAUCCUAAUGGUGCAGCCGCUAUUAAGGGUUCGUUU